UAGGCAGUCGCCGGGAAAUUUUUUUCCUGGAGGAAAGUCCGGACUACAUAGAGCGGGGAGUCCAUUGCUGAUAAGGCGGGAUACGGCGGACCAUAUGCCGCCGGAAGGAACAGUGCAACAGAAAGAUACCGCCGCAAUUUUUUUGCGGUAAGGGUGAAAUGGUGGGGUAAAAGCCCACCGGGAUGCGACCGAAGUCGCUCCGCAAGGCAAACCCCUCCCGUAGCAAGACCAAAUAGGGGAUGAUGUCGUGGCUCGCGGCGCUAUCAAUCCCGGGUUCUGGUCGCAUUAGACAGAUGAUUGCCGAUUUUCUCCGGCUUGCCGGAGGAGAUUACAGAAUCCGGCUUAUUC
rnacentral:RNase_P_RNA from 1 species